rnacentral:rRNA from 1 species
GCUCACGGCCAUACCAGCCUGGGUACGCCCGAUCUCGUCUGAUCUCGGAAGCUAAGCAAGGUCGGGCCUGGUUAGUACUUGGAUGGGAGACCACCUGGGAAUACCAAGUGCUGUAAUCA